CGGUGAGGAACCUGCCUUGGAGAGGGGAAUAACACUCCGAAAGGGAGUGCUAAUACCGCAUGAUGCAGUUGGGUCGCAUGGCUCUGACUGCCAAAGAUUUAUCGCUCUGAGAUGGCCUCGCGUCUGAUUAGCUAGUAGGCGGGGUAACGGCCCACCUAGGCGACGAUCAGUAGCCGGACUGAGAGGUUGACCGGCCACAUUGGGACUGAGACACGGCCCAG
rnacentral:rRNA from 1 species